rnacentral:pre_miRNA from 1 species
CUUGUACUCCCUCUGUCCGAAAAUACUUGUCAUUGAAAUGGAUGUAUCUAGAUGUAUUUUAGUUCUAGACACAUCCAUUUUGAUGACAAGUAAUUCCGGAUGGAGAGAAUACUUG